AAAGGUGAAAUUAAAUUGUUAAUUAUAAAUUUUUUCUAAAAAUUGAAGCUAAUAAAUUUCAGAUCUAAACUAGGAUUAGAUACCCUAUUAUACUGAAAUUAAAUUGUAAAAGCUUGAUUAUUAAUAGAUAAGAACUUUAAAUUUAAAAAAUUUGGCGGUAAUUUAGUCCUGUCAGAGGAACUUGUUUAUUAAUCGAUACACCACGAAAAAUUUAACUUAAGUUUGUAUACCAUCAUUAAAGAUAAUUCUUAAAGGAAAUAUUAUUGAGUUUAAUAUUAUAUUAUUAAAAUUAGAUCAAGGUGCAGCUAAUAAAUAAGGAACAAAUGAGUUACAAUAAAUCUUAUUUAAUAUGGAUUAAUUUUUAUUAAGGUGGAUUUGUUUGUAAUAUGAUUUUAAUAUGAUCAUAUGAUAUAGGCUCUAAGUUGUGUACAUAUUGCCCGUCGCUUUC
rnacentral:rRNA from 1 species